AUCAUUUCCUGAUCUUUGACUAAGAUCAAGUACAGUAUUUGUUUUUAUCAGUUUAAUAUUUAAUAACACAAACAUUCUAUCUUCUCAAUCUUUUUAGUUUUUUGAGACAGAAUUUCUUUGUGUCUCCAUGGCUGCUCUGGAAUUUUCUGUAGACUGGGAUGGCCUCAGUCUCACAGAGAUCCUCC